UGUGGAAUACUACUUUUGGGGUUGUUUGAGAUUUGUACCAGCUGCAGGUUUAGAAAAUCUCGUGUGAUGCUCUUUUGAGAUUCUCUUAGGAAUUCAUUUGUAAUUCCUCAUAACCUUGGUGUUUUUAUCGGGUGAAUUACUGGAUUUAAGGGCGUGUUACUCUGAUGGUAGAGUUAGGCGAACCCGUUAUAGCGCUGAAUGUUUCCGCAACGUUGUUGGGCAAAAUCUAGAGCUGGAAGGUAUUAUUGAGGUGAACCCAUUUAAUAGGGAUUUGAACGAAUGAGGAGUGAAUUCAUUGUAGUUCUUUC
rnacentral:lncRNA from 1 species